rnacentral:rRNA from 1 species
GAUCAUGGCUCAGAUUGAACGCUGGCGGCAUGCUUUACACAUGCAAGUCGAACGGUAACAGGGAGCUUGCUCCGCUGACGAGUGGCGAACGGGUGAGUAAUGCAUCGGAACGUGCCGUGUAGUGGGGGAUAACGUAGCGAAAGUUACGCUAAUACCGCAUACGCCCCGAGGGGGAAAGUGGGGGACCGCAAGGCCUCACGCUAUACGAGCGGCCGAUGUCGGAUUAGCUAGUUGGUAGGGUAAAGGCCUACCAAGGCGACGAUCCGUAGCGGGUCUGAGAGGAUGAUCCGCCACACUGGGACUGAGACACGGCCCAGACUCCUACGGGAGGCAGCAGUGGGGAAUUUUGGACAAUGGGCGCAAGCCUGAUCCAGCCAUGCCGCGUGAGUGAAGAAGGCCUUCGGGUUGUAAAGCUCUUUCAGACGGAAAGAAAUCGGUGUGUCUAAUACACGCACUGGAUGACGGUACCGUAAGAAGAAGCACCGGCUAACUACGUG